rnacentral:tRNA from 1 species
GAGAGUAUAGCUCAGUGGUAGAGUGUGUGCUUAGCAUGCACAAGGUCCUGAGUUCAAUCCCGAGUACUUCCA